rnacentral:lncRNA from 1 species
GAGAAUCCAUCCAAUUUAAGCAACAUUCAUCCACCAAUUAUAAUUAACAGCUAACCUAAGUUCAUCCCAAGGUUUUCAUCCAAUCUUAAGUUAACUCAUCAUUGAUUAAGUCUCCAUUCAACACCCAGUCUUUAUUCAAUACUUAAUUCACUUAUAUGCUAACCUAAUCGUUCAUAAUUUUGAACUUGGUUUCAUUUGAAAAACUCAUUUAUCUGAGGACGAAUUCGGAAGUUUCCACUUUGACGUUGCUGUGCUCCAGAUGCUCCUUCGACACCACACUUCUUCCUGUACUUUCCACUCAGAAUAUGUGCACGAGGUACUUGCAAUCAACUUGACCUUAAAAUUGCCACGCAAGUCCACUCGUCCGUCUUGGCGACAAUGGCCGUUGAUGAUGUAUUCCAAAAAUCAAAAGCGAUCCCUUGCGAGGCUACAACAUCCGCUCUUCAGGAUAAAAACAACGCAACACUUAGUUACAAGGUCCCUUCCACAACUUCCAGAGCUCAGACAACACCGCAAAAAAUAAAAUAAAAUAAAAUAAAUGCUGUCGAGAUCCAUGACUAACGCACUAGGCGACUAUCACAUCUAUCCGUCUCUGACUUUCCAGUCGAAUUGUCAACCGGUGGAAAUUUCAGAAUCUUACUGACUCAUAAAUUAGCCUCCACUGAACUUAAACCCGACUGAUAGCCUGAGCCUCCAUUCAGCUGAGCGCUGUAAUGAUAACAUCGAAGAAUUCCAAGGAACCUACAGUUUUAACAACCUGAACAAUAGGAGCUUGUCAAAAUUUACAAGAGGAGCCAACUCCUACGAGCAGUGACAAGGCUAUAGGUCAAUCAAUCGAGAUGAACCAAGUACUAUCGAGGGCUUGAACAGCGAGUAGUAUCUACGAUCAAUCAAUCGUAAUGCUCUUGUUGAAGUAGCAUCGACCAACGCUGUGCAGCCUUUUGCCGAAUCGGAGCUAGAAUGGAUCAGAAAUUGUCGCAUCACCGCCAACGUCGAUAACUAUAGAUUCACCGGAUAGACAAUAAGACAGAUCAAUGCCGUCGUCAAUGCAAAGUCGCGAGCCGCCAGCAAAACCAAUGAUGAAGCAGUCUCGGCAAGAAGGGGAUCGUAUUGUCGCAAAAUCGUCCGCCUCUGUUCCUUCGACACAAGACCUCCACACGAUCCCUUUAACUCCUUGCCUUCGGAUCAGAAGUCAAUUUGGAGCAGCGAUCGUAAUCAACGCUGCACUCCACUAGGGCCAAAAAUACCGAGGGAGAAGGAACCACAGCCUCCACAGCAACACCAACACAGCAAAAUCCACAGCAACUUAACUUGGAACUAGAGGCAGCGUCGAGCUACACUCUGAACUUUCUCAGCAACUCGUGUUGUAUCCUCGAGAAAAAAACAAUGAAUUCCUUCACGGAGGUAGCACUCAAUGACAAAAAAGAAAGAAAGAAAUAAAGAAAGAUACUAAGAGGGAUUUGACUAGAGCUCGAGAUUGUUACAUCAGUAGCCUUCGCCAUCACCUGCUGCAUCAAUCCAAGAGGAAGCACAAGAAAACAACUCCGCUGACCGCACUUCCGCCAACGCCUACUUCGAAUACUUCGAAUAAAACCAAGACCAUUGCCACUUGUGAGGACCAAGCACCACUUCCUCAGACACUUGAUUUAACCAUCGCAAUGCCAAACCACUCCAGCCACAAUACCCAUAGGAGCAGUGCUGCACCAUACCACCUAAACGGAACAAUUUAAACAAGAAAAAGUCAAGGGGAACCAGCCCCUCCCUCCACCAAAUUCGGAGCUCUACCAAAAACACAGAAAAGAAAAAAUUUGAAAGAGAGGGGUCUGGGGUGGACCGGACCCCUAUCGGUGAAGAAGUUGCUGGGG